UCACUUGAACUCGGGAGGCGGAAGUUGCAGUGAGCCGAGAUGGCGCCAUCGCAUUCCAGCCUGGGGGACAAGAACGAGACUUCGUCUUAAAAAAAAAAAAAGAUUCUCCACUUCUGUGAUGUGUCUUAGAAACAACCAAGAGCACCCUUCCCAGGAGUACCCCAAUUUCCUAUUGCAUCUUCCAGUUGGAGGACAGUCUUGAUCGGAAUGUAACUCAAUAUUUCUCAUCUCCUCUCUGCAACCAAGGAGCUACAUGUGACCCAAAAGAGAGAAGAUCUCUGUCAGUCACUCAGACUGGAGUACAGUGGUGCGAUCACCACUCACUGUAUGCAGUUUUGAACUCCCUGGCUCAAGCAAUCCUCCCACCUUAGCCUCCCAAGUAGCUGGUACUACAGAUGUGCACCACCACGCCUGGCUAACUUAUUUAUUUAUUUAUCUGUAGAGACACUGUCUCACUAUGUUGCCCAGGCUGGUCUCGAAUUCCUGGACUCAAGUGAUUCUCUUGCCUUGGCCUCCCAAAGUGCUGGGAUUACAGGCAUGAGCCACUGCACCUGGUCUCACAUAUUUUUAGUACUAUAAAUCUGUGAAUGCCCAGCAAACAUCAAGCAGACUGUACUCUUGGAACUUUUCAUCUUGAGUGGAGGCGCAUAAGGAAUGGGAAAAUAUUGGAACACAUAUACUGGAGGAGCAGCACCCAGAUAAGAUCCUUCAGUUGUUCAUGCUGCCUGGACUCCAGGAAUUGCCUUCAUUCCUGUCUUGUGUCCUGAUUUGGCUCUCCAGCCUCCCAUCUAUCCUGAGUUCCUAGCUAGCACCCUGUUAAAAGUCUCUUUUUGCUUCUGUUAGUCAGAAUCCAUUUCCAUCAUUUGCAUCCAAAGACAUUCAACUAUUACACCGAGAUCCAAGAUUUUUUUCAGCACUGUCGCUGUUUUGCAUAUUUAGCUCUGAGUUCUGACAUGCUGAGUUUACUACUAUAUGAGAUACUACCUUCAAAAUGUCAAUUUCAUCCAAACCCACACAUUAGUGCAAUUACAAGACAGUACAUUAGCAUUAUUAUUAAUUUAUUUAUAACCCAGCUUGUUCCAAAAGGAUUUCAUUGUGUUAAAUUAUCCUACAGAGGUAUGGCAAGAAAAAAAACAUUUAAAAUAAGGAACAAAAAUGAAACAAAGGAAGAAUAAGAGGUAGAAAAGUGAGAUGAAGCCACAAGAGAACCUAAUCCAUAAAAAUGGUUACUGCCAAGGCUAGACAAUAGGUAGGGGAAAGAUGCAGUAUCGUGAAAAGGUCUGCAGGCUACAGUUGUUGCCAUGGUAUUUGGCAACAAUAUUUUCUAUUUUUCAUAGUUCCUUCUCAACCUGAAUUUCUGUUAAAAGCUUGCAAUCUCUCGACAUUGAAAUGGGACCAUGAGAUAAUUAAGCAGUUGCCAAAUGGGAACUAACUGAAUAACAGAAAAGAAUACAUUUGCUUAAAGUCUUUACGUUAUUACUUUAAAGAUGGUAAAAACCCUGAGAUAUCUGCUUUAAUCUUCAUCUCUCUUUCUUUCUCUUUCUUUUGUUUUUUUUGGUUAAUAUUAGUCAAAACCUGGAAGCUGCAGUGCCUUAUUUCAAGUUAUGAUUUUUUAAAUUUUGCUUUUCACAAUAGAUGGACCUUGAAAAAUUUAUUCUGUUAUCUGUUUUUACAAAUUCAAACACUCUAAAUGGAAGACAGAAACUAUUUAAAAGAAGAUUUAUAGUCAAUCUUUUUGCAAACCAGGCAUUACAUUUUUACUUAUUAUUUUAGCGAUGUGGGGUUUUCACAUGUUAUAGAAAUGUCAGUUCCCGUCUUGCAGUUUUUAUCAAGAAAGCAAAGCUCAGAUUUUAAAUGCAAAUACUGCAUAAAGAUAUUGCUCAUACAUAGUAACAUAGUAAACACAAUCAUGCUGAUCUUCAUUAUUGUAAUGACGAUUUUCCCAUUUUAAUAUUUAUUGCAUUUUUUUUUCUAUCAAACCUUUUUCAAAAAGGAUCGGAGGCAACUGUGGAAUACAUCACAAGUGCCACCUAGUGCUUCCUUUGAAAAUAAUGCUUUUUUUUUUUGGUCUUCAGAAAUAGGAACAAAACAAGAUGUAGAACACCCAUGCUCGUAGGCUGGAUCUUGCUUAAGUAGUUCUGCUUCCUAAAAAUGAGUGCAUUUGUUUUCAGCCAAAACAUAUGUUGAAAGAAGAAUUUGGAAGUGAGUUUCCUUGACUGUGCUCAGACCUCCCAAUACUGCUUGGUUUUAAUUCUACAUAGGUAGACAUGGCAUUAAGUAAAGGAUGCUAAAGAAAGGAAACAUAAAAUAAGGAAUUUCAUUAAACAAGAAGUAGC
rnacentral:lncRNA from 10 species